AUGAAUUUUCGACUGUUUGUUCCAUUAGCGGAACGAUUGGAUUUGUGCUCUGCUCCAGUGACGGGCCGACAUUUGACUUCGAGAAACUUGUCAAUCCUCUAGAUACCAAGAACAAUGGGGUGACUAAAGGGCCUCCUAAGUUCUACGACUCUCAGAUCCAUGCUGCCGCUUUCUGUCUGCCAUUUUUUGCGAAGAAGGUUGGCAGUGCCAAAUUCUGAUAAACAGAUGUUUCUCAGCAUACAGCCUAUAAAAGAUGGAUAAACAACGUCCGUAUCAUUUGUGCUCGUCCGUCUUCAUUUUUUUUUUCCUAUUGUCCAUCGGUUCUCGAUCAUUGACUGUAAUACCAAAUGUGGCCAUAUCAAAUUACAAAUAAGCAUCACAGUAGUUGCCCGUCAA